rnacentral:rRNA from 1 species
GAGAGUUUGAUUCUGGCUCAGGAUGAAUGCUGGCGGCGUGGAUAAGGCAUGCAAGUCGAACGAGCUUUCUCCGCAAGGAGAAGGUGUAGUGGCGAACGAGUUAGUAACACCUUGGUACGUACCCUUUAGUCGGGCACAACCAGCCGAAAGGUUGGCUAAUUCCCGAUAGUCCCUCACGGGUAAAGUCGCAAGACGCUCAAGGAGCGGCCUAGGUCCUAUCAGCUUGUUGGCGGGGUAAAAGCCCACCAAGGCUAUGACGGGUAGGAGGCGUGAGAGCGCGACCUUCAACGGCGAUACUGAGAAACGGAUCGCACACCUACGGGUGGCAGCAGUCGAGAAUAUUCGACAAUGGGCGAAAGCCUGAUCGAGCGACGCCGCGUGCAGGAAGAAGUCCUUCGGGAUGUAAACUGCUUUUGCGUGGGAAGAACUUUGACGGUACCACGAGAAUAAGGGGUUCCUAACUCUGUGCCAGCAGGAGCGGUAAUACAGAGACCCCAAGCAUUAUCCGGAAUUACUGGGCGUAAAGCGCGAGUAGCCGGUUGCAUUAGUCUGAUGUUAAAUUUCAUGGCUUAACUGUGAAACCGCAUCGGAAACGGUGCGACUUGAGCAGCUGAGAGGUACGCGGAACGUGCGGUGUAGGGGUGAAAUCCAUUGAUAUUGCACGGAACACCAAAAGCGAAGGCAGCGUACUGGCAGUUUGCUGACGGUCAAUCGCGAAAGCGUGGGGAUCAAAAAGGAUUAGAUACCCUUGUAGUCCACGCCCUAAACUAUGCAGACUAGCUAUUGGGAGCAUCGACCCUUCCAGUGGCGUAGCUAACGCGUUAAGUCUGCCGCCUGGGAAGUACGGCCGCAAGGCUAAAACUCAAAGAAAUAGGCGGGGAUUCGCACAAGCGGUGGAUCAUGUGGUUCAAUUCGACUAUGAGCGAGGAACCUCACCAAGGCUUGAAAUCC